rnacentral:miRNA from 1 species
GAGCUGGGCUGAGCUGGGCUGAACUGGGCUGAGUCGAGCUGGGCUGGGCUGGGCUGGGC